UACGUAGGGUGCAAGCGUUGUCCGGAAUUAUUGGGCGUAAAGAGCUCGUAGGCGGUCUGUCGCGUCGGCUGUGAAAACCCGGGGCUCAACCCCGGGCCUGCAGUCGAUACGGGCAGACUAGAGUGCGGUAGGGGAGAUUGGAAUUCCUGGUGUAGCGGUGGAAUGCGCAGAUAUCAGGAGGAACACCGAUGGCGAAGGCAGAUCUCUGGGCCGAUAUUGACGCUGAGGAGCGAAAGCGUGGGGAGCAAACAGG
rnacentral:rRNA from 1 species